AAGUUGAAGAGCUGCUCUUUAACCAAAUGAGUGGCGGACGGGUGAGUAACACGUGGGUAACCUUCCCAUUAGAGGCGGAUAACAUUCGGAAACGGAUGMUAAUACCGCAUAGUUUCCGGAAUCKCAUGAUUCUUGAAGCAAAGGUGGCUUCGGCUACCACUAAUGGAUGGACCCGCGGCGUAUUAGCUAGUUGGUGAGGUAAUGGCUCACCAAGGCAAUGAUACGUAGCCGACCUGAGAGGGUGAUCGGCCACACUGGGACUGAGACACGGCCCAGACUCCUACGGGAGGCAGCAGUAGGGAAUCUUCCGCAAUGGACGAAAGUCUGACGGAGCAACGCCGCGUGAGUGAAGAAGGUUUUCGGAUCGUAAAACUCUGUUGUUAAAGAAGAACA
rnacentral:rRNA from 1 species